rnacentral:rRNA from 1 species
UACGUAGGGGCCUAGCGUUGUCCGGAUUUAUUGGGCGUAAAGAGCUCGUAGGCGGUUCGGUAAGUCAGGUGUGAAAUCUCCACGCUCAACGUGGAGGCGCCACCUGAAACUGCCGUGACUCGAGUCCGGUAGGGGAGUGUGGAAUUCCCGGUGUAGCGGUGAAAUGCGCAGAUAUCAGGAGGAACACCAACGGCGAAGGCAGCUCGCUAGGACGGUACUGACGCUGAGACGCGAAAGCGUGGGGAGCGAACAGG